AUGAGACUGCAGACAGCUCAAUGUCUCCUCUAUGCGCCGGACAGUGUGCUUUGGGUUUCCUUUGCGAGGUCAGUGAUGCAUGGUAUCGGGGCUUUUUCACUGGACAGACAUUUCUUUCUGAUGGCAAAUAUUCAAUGGAUACAAGGGUUUCAUCUACCUUUUUUCUUUAAAUCUGUUUUGGAAGCAUGGAAUAUAUUAACUGUGUCUAGAACUCCGGAUCAAAACUAUGGUACAGAGGAGCCCCUUUUCUUUAAUCCUCUCAUGCCCACUCAGGAGAGAGUCGGGGAUAGCCUGAUCUCGGCAUUUAUGGGAGCAGGUAUAACCAAGUUAGGAGACCUGUUGGACCAUGAGAACGGGAGGUGGAAGUUGGCACUGGAGGUUAGUGCCCAGACUGGACUGAGGUCUCUGCGCCUGGUGGCUGACCUGUUGGGUAGGCUCAGAGUCUCCCUCCCGAACAGUCUCCGUGCUGCAGCAAACAGCGUUGUAGCUGGAACACCAGAACAGGUGGCUUUCCCUGAACUUCGGAUAUCUCCCAGGUGUGCAUCGAGAGGAGGGGGACACCUGUUGACUUUUAAUGCUCUUACUGAUUUAAGUCUAGCCUCAGUUGACCGAAAGUCACUUUAUAACAUAUGCUGCAAAUCCUUGUUUUUCAAUCAGCUGGUCAGUCGUCCAGACACCAAGUGGCGGGAACAUGGACAGUUUCCACCAGACUUUUCUCCCACAUGGAGGUUGCUGUACAAGCCUCCCAUCUCCAAAAGAGUGGGGGAUUUGCAGUGGCGCGUCCUUCACUUGGCCAUCCCUACUAAUCGCUUUGUGUCUAGGUUCAACCAUGAAGUCAUGCCAACCUGCCCUUUCUGCCCGGCCCCGGACACGGUUUUUCAUUUUUUCACUGAAUGCUCCAGACUGUUACCUUUGUUUUCUCUUCUACAGACAUUGUUGGGGAAACUUGGCUUUCUUUUUAACCACAAUCUGUUUGUUUCCUCAGUGAGGUACACUAAAGGGAGAAAAGGGGAAUGCACAUUGGCAAAUUUCCUAUUUGGACAGGUAAAGCUGGCCAUCUAUAAAACCCACAAGACUGAGAUGGAGGAGGGCAAUGGGAAGGACUUGGUGGGGGUGUUUAAAACGAUGGUCAGGACCAGGGUGGCAGCUGAUUUUGCAUACCUUAAAAUGACUGAUGAGCUUUUGUUUUUCAAUCAGCGUUGGUGCAUUGGUGGAGCUAUAUGUUCAGUGGACUCCACUGAUGGAAUCUCUUUCCGGUUUUAG
rnacentral:lncRNA from 1 species